rnacentral:lncRNA from 10 species
GUCUUUGUCUGGGGCGGCGGCAGCGUGGCAGGAGCGAGGGGCGCCCCGACCCGUCCCCUCUGCCCUCCACUACCCCUGCCGGCUCCAGCCCGUCCGUGUCUCACCGUCUUUAUUUAACAAAGAACGGAGAGACUAUAAAUGACCCUGAGCAGAGUGGCUGCGAGCAGGGCCCCUGGGGCGUCCCACGGGCGUCAUCCUAGCCGCGUGAGCGCCGAGCUUGGGCACCGGGGGGGUUGGCGUGCUUGUACACUUGCUCCGUUUUCUCUGUAAGUACUAAGGAUUCCCCUGCCGCCCUCUUCCUCAUUUUCCACCAUCCCAAUUUACACAAGCAUUAGUAUUUUUUUUUUUUUUUUUGAGACGGCGUCUCGCUCUGUCACCCAGGCUGGAGUGCAGUGGCGCGAUCUCGGCUCACUGCAAGCUCCGCCUCCCGGGUUCACGCCAUUCUCCUGCCUUAGCCUCCCGUGUAGCUGGGACUACAGGCGCCCGUCACUACGCCCGGCUAACUUUUUGUAUUUUUAGUAGAGACGGGGUUUCACCGUGGUCUCGAUCUCCUGACCUCGUGAUCCGUCCGCCUCGGCCUCCCAAAGUGCUGGGAUUACAGGCGUCAGCCACGCGCCCGGCCACAAGCAUUAGUAUUUACUUCCGUAAUUUCCCCAUGCCCAUGUAACAUCACACACACACACACACACACACACACACACGUUUGCUUUUGUUUUCCAAGAUGGCAUCUAGUAGGCGCUUCUCUUUGUUUUGCUUUUCUAGUACACCGUGGAACCCCAAAUCCCAGCUGGGAUUCACUCUUUUCUAAUGGCUGAACAUUCAUCCGGGGCAUGAAGGCAGCUCAGUUCAUUUCAUCAUUCCUUUGUUUCCUCUGUUUUGCCACCAGAAACUGCCGCGAUGAAUGUCAGUCCCCAGAGCCGGAACCGUUCCCGGUUUUCUCUACUUGGAUCUGAGAACUCUGUCCCUCCAGCCCUGCGAGCGCUUUGCCAGGGUGACGGGCGGAAAUGUCCCCGCAUCCGUGCCUGCUUUCCCAGAUGGGACCCUCCAGCAGUCCCCUCCACUGCCCGUGCUUCCUCCUAACCACUUCCCCCCAGCGACCGCGGAAGGCGCUUCCUCCCCCGCAGCGCGAGCCCCAAGCUCCUCCAGAGCCCCAGCUCUCCCCGCCCCCUUCCCGACCUUGUUUCAUAUGACCCCUCCCCCGCACAUACUCAAUUUCGUCUUCCCAAGGCGCCCACUCUCCACAUCCUGAUGAAAAAAAGAGCCGGCUGCUGUCCUAUGUUAUUGUCAUACUUCUUUCCUCCCGUGCACUACACAACUUGAACAACUUUUUUUUUUCUUUUUUUGAGAAAAGGUCUCGAACUGUCGCCCAGGCUGGAGUACAGUGGCACGAUGAUGGCUCACUGCAGCCUCGCCCUCUCUGGGCACAGGUGAUCCUCCUGCCUCAGCUUCCCAAGAAGCUGGUACUACAGGCGCGUGCCACCACUAUUGGCUAAUUUUAAUUUUUUUUUAACCACAGGGUCUCGCUAUGUUGCCCAGGCUGGUCUCGAACCCCUAGGCUCAAGGGAUCCUCUCACCUCAGCCUCCCAAAGCGUGAGAUUACAGGCGUGAGCCACCGCGCCCCGCGGUAAAUACUAUUCCAAGGAAAUGGCACCUGAGUUUGAGGAGAUUAAUCGGGUUUACUGCAGGGAAGGAGCAUUGGCCCUGGUGGCCAGAGGCAAGGGUACGAACCUGACCCUGCCCUUUCCCUGCCUGGUUCUGCCUUCAGCAAAUUGUUCCACACAUCUCUGGUUUCCUCCCCACAUGAUCCCAAGGCCCUGCUGGCUCUAGCCUUUGUGAGGCUAGAAUUACAAUUCCAUUCCUCCCCAGCCACGCCCCAUCUCUUGCUCCCUGUGCUAGCGCUUUCCCCAAUCAGCCACACUUUCCUUUCCCAUUCACUGAGCCUGUGGAAAGCCCUCUUAUUCUGAAUAUCUAGAUCCUAUUCACCUUUGAAGACCCGACUUGGCCACGUUUCUUCCCAAAGCCUACUGCAUGCCCUUUGUGGGAGGAACUGCUCUGUCCUUGCAACGCCACUGUGUGUAGUACUUUCUCUGUAUCUUACCAGUGGCAUCGCCCACUCUGCCUGGGGUGCUGUUCCAUACUUGCCCUUCUUCCAGUGCCAUCUAUGUGUGUGGUAAGACCUCAGCAUAGCACUUUGCCCACGGUAAAGGAUAUGGUUUCGGGAGUCCCAAGACCCGGGUCCACGUCCCAGCUCUGACACUAAAUGUGUUAUCUUGAACAUGUCACAUGGCCUUUCUGAGCUUAAUUUCCCCAAAUGUAAAAUGGAAAUAGUAACUUAUUUCAUAGUGUUGCUGUGUUGAUUAGAUGAGACAUUAUAUAAGAAAAUGCUUUGUGAACUGUAAAGCUAUUUACACACAUAAAUAAUAGUAAAGAUAGAUAUUAUUCAGAUGCUGGCAAGAGGGAUAUUCUUUGCAAAACAGAAUUAAAAAAAAAAAAGAAAAGAAGGCAUGGUGGCUCAUCUCUAUAAACCCAACACUUAGCACUUAGGGAGGUCGAGGCGAGAGGAUCACUUGAGCCCAGGAGUUCAAAACCAGCCUGGGCAACAUAGCAAGACUCCCGUCUCUACAAAAAUAAAAUUAGCCUGGCAUGGUGGCAUGCGCCAUUAAUCCUAGCUAUUUGGGAGCCUGAGCCCAGGAAUUUGAGGUUACAGUGAAUUAUGAUCAUCCCACUGCACUGCAGCCUGAGUUGCAGAGCAUCUCUUGAAAAAAAAAACAAAAAUGUGGGAAAACUGUGGAAAAUGAAAAAGACUUCUUGGUUGCCAUCUCCAAAUUUGGGGACUGAUUCCUAAUUAUUCCUUUUAGAUCAAUUACCAGGUGAUGUUAAAUAUACUGUAAUAGUAAAAGCUAGAAAUAAUCUAACUUUUGAACAGUUGGAGGAUGAUGAAGUUAUGGGUAAUGGGAAUAAUAUGUUAUCAUCAAAGUUAAAUUUCUGAAGAAUAUUUAAUGACAUGGGAAACCAGUCAUAAUAUAACAUGAAAGCUAAAAAAGCAAGGUACUAAAUAGUGGUGGAGAGGAGGUGUAAGAAGAGACUUUUCUCACCACCCUUCACAGCUUUCUGUUUGGCCCCUGAGUGGGGUGUCUGAUGCCAGAGAACGUGGGACAUAUUCUAAGGCCUUAGUCUUACACAAAUAGCUCACUCCCUGCCUCCCAAGAGACAGGGAUUCAGAACAGGUGAACCAGGAGCCUAGAGCCUCAGGGGAGACCAAGGACUGUCCCAGAUCCAGGCCCUGAUUCUGUGGCCCAAUGGCCUGACAAUCUAAGGUCCUCUGUCUACCACUUCUUCCAGCCGGACUGUGGACCUCAAACAUAACCUCUCACUUCCUGCUUUGACACUGUUUCCAGAGUGGGUUUAUAGGAAAGACCUCCUCCAAAAAAGCAGGCUCCAACUACCAACACUAGAGAACUAAGCUCUAGCCAGGUGCAGUGGCUCACGCCUAAUCCCAGCACUUUGGGAGGCCGAGGGGGGCAGAUCACUUGAGGUCAGGAAUUCAAGAGCAGCCUGGCCAACAUGGCAAAUCCCUGUCUCUACUUUUAAAAAUACAAAAAUUAGCCGAGCGUGCUGGUGUGUGCCUGUAAUCCCAGCUACUUGGGAGGCUGAGGCAUGAGAAUUGCUUGAACCCAGGAGGCAGAGGUUGUAGUGAGCUGAGAUCACACCACUACACUCCAGCCCAGGCAAGGCAACAGAGCGAGACACCGCCUCAAAAAAAAAAAAAAGAAAAGAAAAGAAAAAGAGAGAACUAAGUUCCAAAAAGAGGGGCCAUGUGGGCCACAGGAGAGGACAAAAAUGAGCUGUCACUGGUGGUUGGGGAAGUGCAAGGGGCUCCAGAGAGAAGGUGACAUUUAUGCUGGUCAUGGGAUGGUAUUUGGCAAGUGGAGAUAUGAUCAUUAAAAGAAAGUUGUAUUGUUAUUAUCUUACAUUUCAUAGUUCAGGAUGGGGGAGGGGAGAUGUUUUGUUUAAAAUACCCUUUCUCCUCUUUUUUUUUUUUUGAGAUGGAGUCUUGCACUGUCACCCAGGCUGGAGUGCAGUGGCCCGAUCUCGGCUCACUGCAAGCUCUGCCU